UCUCUCCCACUUAAUUAGCAAGAAUUCAAUAUUAUUUGCAUUGAAUGGACAUGUGUUGCACAUUUUUGUUGAUUGUCUUGAUGUAUGUUGCUUUGGAUAAGAUAUCCGCGAAGUCUGUGGUAUAGAUAUUUUUUUUGAGAUUAAGAAUCGGUGAAGGCUUUUUCUUUUUUCUUUUUAAAUCAGAGCGGUAAAGAUUUGAAUAGGGCCGUGUGUCACUAAUAUUACUGUUUUAUAUGGCCCUAUUUUUGGUUUGCCUUUGUUUCAAUGGAUACUUAUUAAUCCUUCCUGAUCAUGUUCAUUGUUGUGAUUUUAUGGCAAUGUAUUUGUCUUUGUUACACUGCUGAAGAGAAGAAACUCUUGAGAAUUUCAAUUUAAUAUUAGUGGAUUCCCAGACAAUUGUAGAAUUGUCAUACGGAAAUAAACCUACAUUCUUCUUCCUUUUGUUUUUAGAACUUAAUUGGAUAACAUCCGUUGGACACCGUCCAUUUUUGCCUUUGUCUACGCUAAUUCCACCGCCGGUUUUAACUCCCCAGAGUGCUGACACAAGAUAAUACCUGUCGCUGGAGUCCACCUCGUUGCCAUAGACAUCUAAGAUAGGUUCAGAUUCUGAGGUGCGCAACUGAGGUUUUGUGGCCAAAGCAAGUAUAAGGAAGGAGAAUGUGGUUACCGGUGAAGCCUUCACCUUUUUUUUUUUUUUAAUUUUCUUUUUUUUUAAGGAUAGCUGCUGUUUGUUUUGUUGAUCAAUUCGGUAUUCAAGUGUAUAAAUUUAUAGAGAGCUAGGGUUAAUAUGUGAUAAGGUCUUUGUGGUAGCUGCUUGAAUGGUCAUGUAUUAUUGAGUCUUACUUUUUUCCACUUUAAGUUUAGUAAAUUUGUUAAUUUUUUGUUAUAUGGAAAUGUAGUAUGGGCGACACAUACAUAAGUUUGGUUCUCAUAUUAUAGAAGUUUAUGAGCCUAACUCUUACUUAAAAGCUAUUUUGAGAGAAAGUUCCGUCUCAAUGAUUUUAAAAAUAUCUAUAAAAAGAAGAUAUAUUUUGCUUUUAUUGAUUCAUAAGUGCAAAAUGCUCAACUUAUAAAAGAUUCAAAACACAACAAAGGAAAUGAUAAAAUUUGGGAUUGACUUGUAUUGAUUGACAAUCAAUCAUGCAAUUGUUUGCCAGAGAUAUGUUUUAUCUUUUCAUUGAUUCUUUUCAUUUUCCCUCAAGUUGGUGAGGAAAUUUGUAAACUGGGCUUGACUUAAGAUAUUGAAAACCAUUUUUGGUCUAUACUUUCUAGUGUCAUAGAAUAAAUUUAUGAAGUCGUUCCUUAAACCUUACGUAUAGAGGUGGCCAACGGGCUGUGCCGUGCCAGUUCAGGCCCAUCAAAGGAAAGUCCACGCAUGCUCGUACUCGUGCCGUGUCGUGCCCACUAUAUGUUUCGUAUCGUGUCGUGCUGUGUCUAAUUUUUUUUGUUUAGGCCCGGCCCGGCACACGUGCCGUGCCUAGAAAAAAAAGUCCACUAAGCUUUUUUAUUAUUUUUUAUUAUUUUUUUAAGAGCAUAUGCCAAGUUGUUAUCUUAUUUUUUUCAAGUCUUUGUACUUUUUUGAAUCUAUGUGCCUUUAUUCAAUUUUAAUAGAAUAAAAAAUUCAAAACUCAAGUGCAUAUUCAAUAAUAAUAAAUGAAUAAUAAUAAGAGAAUGUAAUAUUAGUUACUAAGUUUGACUCUAUGGUAUUAGAAUUCUUUUUUAGUACUUAACAACAACAAGAAUAAUAAUUUUUUUAAGGGUUAACUUAAUUGUUAACUUGAAAUUACGUAGAGUCAUAUAUCAUAGUUUAUAAUAAUAUUAAUACAUAUUUAUAAAAUCAUGAUAUUUAUAAUUUUAUUUAUUAAAAUCAGGAUAUCAACUAUUUAUUUAAUAAAUUAUAAACAUAAAUCAACUAUAAUUUUUUUGAACUAAGAUUUAAAUAAAUUUAAAAAACUUGAGCUAAUCAAAUAUAAUAAAAGAUUCAAUUUCAAGUUAUUUAUAAAAUCAUAAAAUUGUAAGUUUAUUUUCAUUAAAAAAUAAAAUGUGCUUAUUGCGUGCUUUUUUGUUUAUCGUGCUUUGGCCUAUCUCUAAUCGUGCCGUGCUUUUAAGGUUCACGUGCCUAAAAUUCUAAGCCCAGCCCAGCCCAGCCCAUAUGCGUGUGGUGCCGUGCCGCGUGCUCUACCAAAACGUGCUUGUGCCGUGCAAUACUGUACGGACAUGUGUUGUGCCUUGUGUCAUCCAGUCCAUUGGUCACCUCUACUUACGUACCACUUACUUUUACUAUUUUUAUAGUAUCCAAUAACCACAUUUGCACCAAAAUUUUGAAAGGAAAAGAAAAGCAAGAAAAGCUAAUGGAUUAUUUAUUUUAUAUUUAAUCUUGGGUAUAAAAAAAUGUAUAUUUGUUAUAAGAUUUUUUUUUAAAAAUAACGAAAAUACAAAAAAUGCUUAUUAUUAAUUUUUUUAUUCAUAAAGAAAUGUGAAUUUCUUAUUUUUAGUAUAUAUAUUUUUUAAUUUCAAUUUAUAUGAUUUAUUUAAUUUAUAAUAAAUAUGGAUAAAACUAUAUAUAAAAGUAUAAAACUAAGAGUAGUUCUGUAAUUACGGUGCCAACAAGGUUAUUGGGUAUUAUCAAAAUAAUAGGAGAUAAAUGAUAUAUAUUGAGUUUUUUUUUUUUAUAUAUAAUGGUAUAUAUUGAGUUUAGAAGAAAAAAUGGUAACUUCCCGACUUUAAUCGUAGGGUAGCGUACAAUGAACGGAUGAACGAAUAUAGCUCAAUUAGCGAUUGUCGUGGGGCCAUGCAAGGGUUGUUUGUGCGGAUCACAAAGUAAAUACCGUAGAUGAGAUAACAAAUCAUUUGGCAUCCAUAAACAUUUGACUCAAUAUGUGGUUAAUUAAUUACAGUUUCUUUUCUCUUUUAGUUAAGAGUCCUUGUGAUAAUUAGUUUAAUCAUAUAUUGAUAAGAAAAGUAAAUGUAUAAGGAGGACUGCUCUAGAAUACUCAAAGAUUUUUUCAUGCUUUGUAGAAGAAAUUCAAAUACCAUCGGUUUUUAAAAUACAUCACUUAAGUGCUUUAAAAUUUAAAUUUAUUUCAUUCAAAUAAAUUUCAUAAUAAAAAAAUAGGUGGGGCUAUUUCAAUCCACAAAUUUUUUCUCUACACUCUCUUUUUAGUUAAGAAUUUUAUUAUCUAAGUAAUUUUUGAAAAACUUACGUAAUUAACUCUUUUUUCUCCUUCUCUUAUUAAUUUCACAAAUUCUCAUCAAUUCAUUUAUAUAUAUUUUUUUAGUUGCAAAUAAUUGGUAUCAAUAACUAAGAGAAAUAAAAUCCACUACUUAAAAAUGAACACCAACAAAUUUUAUCAGUUAUAAAAGUUAAUGAAUAUCAAGUAAUUAAUUUUGUUGAUUAAUAUCAUAUUGAUUAGGAUUUGUCUAUUCAAAAUGGAAUGUAUUCCAAUUAUCAUAAGCCAGAGGAUCCAUUAAAUAAAUAACUACUUAUGAGAAUAAUCUUUCAAUCUACAUUGAUCAGACUUUGGCAUGACGACAAUUCGCCAAAAUUAAGGGAUGCUGCCAAAUCUCACAUGAUCAUGUUGUCGUGUUUUUGCUUUCUCUGCAGAAUAGGACUGAAUGAUAAGGCACCGAAAGAUUCUAUGUUACGGAUUUUAAAGGCAUUUCAUCUGGCGUUUCUCAACACAAUCGUUUGCGUAUGAGAGCGACAUUAUGAUGCCCCCACUCUAAACAUAUAAACCAAUAAUUUCAAGUAUGAAUGUAUGAAAUCAUAUAGCGUUUUAUUUUAUUUUAUUUAAGCUGCCUGUGCCUUAUUUUCUUCUUAGCACUGCUAUUUGAAUAGCCACGUGUCAGGGCGAAAGAAAAUAAUAUUAUUGCCUACACUCUAGCAAUUUACAGUGACAGUAUAACACACCAAAACCACGCAUUGUUCAUGAAAAGAAUUCUCGUUUUCGUCGGCCAGCUUGUGUAGAAAAAGUAAAUAUGAGAAUUAAUUGAGAUACUAUAUUCAAACAGAAUUUUACAUUAUAUAUAAAAGUUGUAUCAUGCUCUAAAGGAAUGAAAAUAUAUCUCUUAAUUACAAAGAUAUUUACACAAUUAAAGGCCGCAUCGUUGACUUAAUCAUGUGCAUGAUAUUCUAAUUAGAGCCAUUGAGAUGCAUCAGGUGUAUUGUUUGAGUUAUGUUCAAGCUCAAACUCUCUAUUUGUAUAAUCUCCAAUAUCUGGAAUUCCCCUUAAAAUUGAUUUGGGAAGGAAGAAUUUGUUGACUUGUCAGCUUGAUGUCAUUUUAAUUUUCUUUCUAAUAAAUACUUACAUUGUAACACAUUUUCCAGUAAAACGAUAAAAAAAAACAAGAUACGGGUAAAGUUAAAGAAGUCAAAGGUAGGGGAGGGCAAGGUAGGUGUGUGCAGAAAAAUCAGGGAACCAAAUGAAUCAAACCGAAUUGGCUGUUCGGAUCUGUUUGAAAAUCAGGAAAAAGUCCAUUAGUUUAGUUAAUUAAAUAAAAAACUGACCUAAAAACUGAAUAAUAAGAAAAAAUCAAGAUUUUAAAAGUUAAAAAAUGAAGAAAAAAGGGAACCGAAUCCGAAAUCGUAUGCAUUUCAGUUUGGUUUAGUUAGGAUCAGAAUUUUCAUCAAAUUUAUUCAGUUCAGCUCAGUUCGGCCAAAAAAUAAAAAAAAUCUGAAUCGAACUAUACCCACAAAAGGAAUAGCUCAAGGGAGACAAAUUUGGAAUAACUAAUUACAUAGCCACAUAGAUUUGUAGAAAUAAUCUUGUACAAACUGAAUUAGGAGCUUCAAUAAUAAUGUUAUAUUCACUUAGUAAUGAUAUUUAAUUGUGAUACUCAUUAAUGUGUCACCAAUAAAUUAUUUCCGUAUAUAUGGUAUCCACUAAUUUUAUUUUUAGUUUUGAAUAUAUGAUUUUUUACUACCUAAUUAAUAGAUGACAUAUAAAAUGCCACGUCACUGAAUAUCUCAUCAGAAUAAACAAGAUACUAAUCUUCGAUGAAUAAUCCUCAAAACAUCCACUUGCCAAAAACAUAAUUCAAUUGGAUGAGUGUCUGAGGUUAAUUGUAGAUUAGGUGACAACCAAGAUUGAUCGACUUUAGUUCAAUUGGCGAAUUUCGCGGAAGCAAGCGGGGUUGUUGGCGCAGAUCUGAAACUAAAAACCGUAGAUAAGCUACCUAUUGACUUUUGACUCAAUAUGUAGUUAAUUAAUUAGCAAGAAAUCCCUUAGAUAAUGAUAUAAAUUAUGUCAACUAUAGAGUUGUAUCAGAGAAGCACAGAGUGGAAUUAGAUAAAGAACAAUUUGUUUAUUUCGUGCAAUUCCAUGAGUGAAAUAACUUACAAUUAAGUAAGGAUCGUGGUCCAAUUGAUAUAUGGUAAAAGUUUUAGUUGAUUCCUUGUUGUUUGAAGAAAGAAACUCAAAGAUCAAUUUUAGAAUGUACAACUUAAGUCCUUCAAAUUUUGAAUCUAUUUCAUUCAAGUCCUUCAGUAAUGAAUUUCACCAUUAAAAAAUUGUAAAAACGUUACCAUAAAUAUAGAGUGAUAAUUAUUCCCCCAUACCUCAUAUUUGUGAUUUUAAAGUCCAUUCUACCCUUACUAAAUAAUUUUUUUUUCUUUUUCACCAUGUUAAAAAUCUUAACAGUUUGCUAAAUAAUUACAAUAGAUUUAUAGCCACAAAACUUUAAAUUUUAUCCUAUACUUUUCAUAUGCGAAUUCAACGCAAUAUUCAUGAUAUUUUUAGUUCGUUGGUAGGGAGUUGCCCAGGAAGCCAGUCAAUUAAAUUAAUUAAUUAAAGGACCCUAUCUACUGUUUAGUCUAUUAUACGUGUUAAAAAUCCCAGACCUGAGGAAUCAUCCAUUAUUGAUGAAACCUAAUACUAGCAACGAGAAAAACAUGAUAAAAAGCUGCUGAAAUCUGCACCACAAAAAAAAAAAAAAGUCUUUUUCAUUUUUUUUCUGGAGAAGAUGAAUGACGCGAGUCCCAACUCACAAGGGAUAGCAAUAGUUUGUCAUCAUGCCAAUCGCGAUUAAAUAUCAAUCGUCUAAAAUAAUAGACGAUAGCAAUAGUUUGUCAUCUGCACCACCUCAAAACAUCCACUUGCCAAAAACAUAAUUCAAUUGGAUGAGUGUCUGAGGUUAAUUGUAGAUUAGGUGACAACCAAGAUUGAUCGACUUUAGUUCAAUUGGCGAAUUUCGCGGAAGCAAGCGGGGUUGUUGGCGCAGAUCUGAAACUAAAAACCGUAGAUAAGCUACCUAUUGACUUUUGACUCAAUAUGUAGUUAAUUAAUUAGCAAGAAAUCCCUUAGAUAAUGAUAUAAAUUAUGUCAACUAUAGAGUUGUAUCAGAGAAGCACAGAGUGGAAUUAGAUAAAGAACAAUUUGUUUAUUUCGUGCAAUUCCAUGAGUGAAAUAACUUACAAUUAAGUAAGGAUCGUGGUCCAAUUGAUAUAUGGUAAAAGUUUUAGUUGAUUCCUUGUUGUUUGAAGAAAGAAACUCAAAGAUCAAUUUUAGAAUGUACAACUUAAGUCCUUCAAAUUUUGAAUCUAUUUCAUUCAAGUCCUUCAGUAAUGAAUUUCACCAUUAAAAAAUUGUAAAAACGUUACCAUAAAUAUAGAGUGAUAAUUAUUCCCCCAUACCUCAUAUUUGUGAUUUUAAAGUCCAUUCUACCCUUACUAAAUAAUUUUUUUUUCUUUUUCACCAUGUUAAAAAUCUUAACAGUUUGCUAAAUAAUUACAAUAGAUUUAUAGCCACAAAACUUUAAAUUUUAUCCUAUACUUUUCAUAUGCGAAUUCAACGCAAUAUUCAUGAUAUUUUUAGUUCGUUGGUAGGGAGUUGCCCAGGAAGCCAGUCAAUUAAAUUAAUUAAUUAAAGGACCCUAUCUACUGUUUAGUCUAUUAUACGUGUUAAAAAUCCCAGACCUGAGGAAUCAUCCAUUAUUGAUGAAACCUAAUACUAGCAACGAGAAAAACAUGAUAAAAAGCUGCUGAAAUCUGCACCACAAAAAAAAAAAAAAGUCUUUUUCAUUUUUUUUCUGGAGAAGAUGAAUGACGCGAGUCCCAACUCACAAGGGAUAGCAAUAGUUUGUCAUCAUGCCAAUCGCGAUUAAAUAUCAAUCGUCUAAAAUAAUAGUGUGGCAAUUUACAUUCUUUGGAUAAUUUUCAUUCUAGUGAAAUUUUAUUUUAUUUAAAAUAACCCUAAUGUUAUCGUUGUAACAAGAUUUUGUCUCUGUUCGCAUUUUUGUAAUGCAUGUUUAUCUUUUUCGACAACAUUUUGUUUAGGUUAGUUAGAUGACUAUUUUAGAUCAUGUUUUUAAUUUGCUCUUAAAACCCAAAUACUCUUAAAACCCAUCCGGCAUAUACGGGUAGAAGAAUUAAUGUCAAAACUUUUCUGCUUCAUUAUCCAAUUUAACCAUUGUAAAGCAAAAUACUUAUAUAGUCGCCAACAACAUAAGCUGGAAGUCAUCAAGCCACACACAUUUUACAGCAAUGCAACUGAAAGGAUAAAAUGGACAGAUUUGAAUAAAAGAUUAACAAAUUGCACCAUUUGUACCUAAAGACAUUAAAUGAAAAAUUGUUCUCGGAAAUUAGUAAAAGCUCUAUUCUAGUCUUCAAGUGGAUGUAGACUGGUUGGUUAGGUGAAUAUCUAUAAAUUCUUGUGUCUUAUCUUCACAGUUAUUUCUUUCGAUUUUCAUUUUAUUUUGUGUGUGAUUAAACUUUGGUUUUUAAGUUUAUUAAACAAUCUUCGACUAGGCUUAGGUCUUGAGGGAAUGGUUUGGUAUUUAUACACCUAAUCAGUCUCAACAAAUAUCGAAGAGGAGUAAAAAAAGAUCUAGCCAUAACAAAAGGGAAAGAAAGAAAAAAGCUAAUAAAAAAAAAGUAAGAAAAAUCUUGGGCAUUAUGACUUUGAGAAUGAUGAAAUAUUUUAUGGAUAUAAAAAUAAAAACAAGUACUUAAAUCGUAUAUGGGUAUUGUUUUGGCAUUUAAAAGGGUGUGAAGAGUAAAAUUUAUUAUUAUUUUAAAAUUUAUUAAAGGGGAUGGAUCAAGGAUCCUUAAAAUUAAAGAGAAAAAAACCUUAAUUUCGUUUGAUGAUUCUGGUCCUUUAAAAAUUGUGUAAGAGAAGUUUAUGCAAGUUUAAAGCAACUUUAACAUAGUUGAGGGAAAUAAAGAGAUGGGAAAAGAAAGAAUUAGGAGGAGAGAUGAUAGAGAAAAGAAAAAAAAAAAAGUAAAGAUGACCAUGAAGAUCGUUGGAGGAGAAAGAAGAUGAUUGAAAAAAAAAACGAAUGAAAUAUUUAGUACAUCUCAUUAAAUCCUCAACUAUAUUCAUUUAUCUGUAAUCUAAAGGAGCACAAAACAGUGCAGUUUCAAGGGAAAUUUGAAUUUUUCCCUUUAUUGAAUGAUGUGAAGAGUAAAAGAAUGUUAAACUAUAUUUUAGAGCAUAAAUAACUCUAUCAUGUAAAAAUUUGUUUAAUUGUUGAUUGCAGAUACUUUUUUAUCUUGAGCUGUAUUUUUCUUGAUAUAUCUCAGAACAAGGAAGAACUUUGUUAAAACUUGACCCUUCCUAGCUUUGAUGCUCUAUGUCAUUUUUUAUGUUUAUAUAUAUAUAUAUAGAGAGAGAGAGAGAGAGAGAAAUGUUCCAGUCAGGAAUUUUAAAGUACGGAAAAAUACGGAAAACUUUUAAAAUCGCAUGAUUUUAAAGGUUUAAAACUGUAAGCCUUUAAAAUCGUGUGGUUUUAAAGAUUUUCUUGACUUUCUCGUACUUUAAAAUCACUGACCAGAAUAUAUAUAUAUAUAGUCCUUUUCUAGUGCAGACGCCCUCAUUUAUUUGCCCUCAUUUAUUUUUCAUGGGGACAAACUUUAAAACCACAAGGUUUAAGAGAGUUAGUUUUUAACUCUUUAAAACCAUACAGUUUUUAAAAAAAUACAGACGUCUGCACCUAAAAAUAAUUAUAUAUAUAUAUAUAUAUAUAUAUGUGUGUGUGUGUUAAUUAUAUGCUACACUUUAACAUACAAAUUUUGUUACUUUAAAUUGUAACUAUGUCAAUCUUUUCUUUAAUGGCAAAUUGUAUGUUGAAAAGGUCAAAUUUAUCCGUGCACCUUUUCUAUCAAUGUUUUAAUGACGACAGUGAAAUUGGGUCAACAAAGUUAGUACCAGGGACAAAGAUUUUUAAUUCUCUCCGUGAGUUUUAUGGGUAAAACAUUCUAACAAACAAUUUUUAUGGCGUCGUCUUUGUCAAUAAAGCGAACCAAAGCAUGCCGAUAAAGCAAAGAAGAUCAUGAUUGGAUUGAAAGAUUCCAAAAUCAUAUUAGUUCCAAUAGCACCUAUUCGAAGAUAGCCCAAAUACUGAUUUUAAACAUCAUUGUUUCAAUGGAAAAUGCUAACUGUUGUGGUUUUAUCACAAUAUAAAACAUUGACAAAGCACUGAUAAUACGUAUGCAUGGAGACUUAAAAGAUGUAUACAUAACAUGAGUAGAGAUUAACAACAGCAAAAGGAUCACAGGCGGUGUUAUUUUUAUUCUGUAAUAGAGAUAAAAGGUUACUAGCCUGGUCUAUUAUUUAGAAUGAUACAGCUAAGUUCAUUCAUUACGCGGUCAUUGAUAUUGCUUCAGCAGCUUCAAAAAACCUUGAUAUUGCGUUAGCAGCUUGAAGUAGCCUUGAGCUUUCCUCUGAUGGAAAAAACAGAACAUUCAAAGCCGGUUCAUGAUCACCAACUAGAAGCAGACGUCGAACGCCAUCCUUAGUUGAAACGCCAAUUUUGUUGCAGCGUCUAGGACAAGAUAGACAGACACUCGGACAAUGGACAAUAUUGUAUACACCACCAUAUGAAAAAUUUCCAGCUUUCUCAAUCUUAAACCAAUUUAGCAACGUUUCAGCUCCUGGGUGGCCCUCACUUCCGCCGGUUACAAUUAAUGGAUCGUCAUAGCUAUCAACUUUCCACAAUGGUUCUUCAUUACAGGGCUUAACAGAAACUUUUACGGGGAAUCUCAGGUUGACAUCAGUGGAUACCUUGACAAUUUUGUAAUUGUCGUACGGAAGUAAUCUUAAAUUAUCUCCCCUUUCGCUAGGAGAACUUAAUUGGAUAACGUCCAAGGGACACUGUCCAUUUGUGCCUAGGUGUGUGCUGAAUCCACCGGCGCCAUCUAGGACUGGGAUAAGUUUAUACUCGAGGGUGGAUUUGACCUUGUUGCCAAUGAUAUCUAAGACAGGUUCAGAGUUUGAUGAGAUGCCCAAUAGAGGCUGCGUGGCCAAGGUAAGGAUAAGGAAGGAGAGUGUUGUUAUCAAUGAAGUCUUCAUUUUUUUGCCACUGGAAGGCUGGCUGCUGUUUGUUGUGUUGAUUCGUUGUUCAAGAGUUUGAAUUUAUAGAGAGCUAGAGCUUAGUAUGUGAUAAGUUCUUUGUGUUGGAUCAUUAAUCUAAUGUUGGGCUUAUAUGUGAAUAUUUAUGUGUUGUGGAUUUUCACAUAAGGUUAAACUCAAUUAAAAGUGAUCUAUUAAUAUUUUUAGUAAUUUGGACUUUAAUGCAUCUGAUAGUGUGGGCUUUUAAUAUAUACAGACCUAAGGGUAAUUUUUAUUUCUAUUAUGAGUUGAAAUAGGAAUACUUAAUGAUAACAAAAAAAAUUAUCUAUAUAAGUGGUUAUAGUCCCCAUGUCACAUGUAUCAUUCUAUUCUCUACUAGCAUUCCAUCAUCAGAGAGAGUGCAAUGAAAAAGUUAAAGGAUUCUCGACCUAGAAGGCUAAUCACACGACCCUAGAGAGUAAUUAAACAUUAUGUAUUCAGGUACGAUUUCGUAAAUUCAUUUAUUGAUUUUUGGUGAUACAACAUGAAUGUUCCUGGAAUUUUGGGGAUGAUUUUUUUACAAAAAGAUUUAAGGUUCUAACAAGUGGCAUCAAAACCUCUUCAUGUUGAAUUAUUGAAAAUCGAAUUUAUUUUCAAUUAGUAAUUGAAUCUUUAGUAUUUUCAAAUUUAAUAAUUUUGGUAUUAUUGAGUUUUAAAACAACUGUGGUUGUUUUUUAAGGAUUAAUAAAAACAAUUUGGGUUAAUUAACAAAAAGGAUUUGAGAUCAAGGCCGGCGGCAGUCACUUCCAUCCCCAGUAACACCCUCACAGGCCUCGGUAUUCCAGGCUGCGACGAGAAGGAAAUGUCGCGGUACACAUGAAAAGCGGCAACCAUGGCCAUCGCAUCAAGAAUCAAAAAAAGAAAAAAAAGAAAAGAAAUAGCCAACGAGCCACAGAAAGCAAAGCCGUGGCCACUAGGCUGUGGCGCAGUUGCAAUUUCUAAAUUCAAAAAUUGAUAUGUUUAUUAAUAAUUUGAGGUGGCCUAAUUGAAGCAGCAUGUCGCCAUAGUAACUUCUUUUGCGGAAAUUAAUUUGUUUAAUAACAUAACCGAUUAUGUGCAUCUAAUUUCUGGGAAUGUUAGUCUGCCUAAAAUAAAGUUUAUAUUUAACAAAAUCGCCUUUGCAUAUAUGGUAAUAAAUGCGUGAUAAUUAUUUAGUUUUACAUGUGAAUAAAAUUAUUUGGUUUUACAUGUGCAUAAUAAAUCAGCCAAAACAAUGAUUUAUUAGGGGAAAUUAAUUUGUUUUUUAAUAUAAACGGUUGUGUGUAUGUAAUUUUUUUGAAUAUCAAUCGACCUAAAGAAAGGUCCAUGUAUAACAGAGUCACAUGUGCAUUUAUGGUAAUAAACAUGUGAUAAUUAUUUAGUUUUCCAUGUGAAUAAUAAAUCGACCUAAAGGAAGAUUUAUUAUCUGACAUGUUCUUAUUAUCAAUGAUUGAUUACUACACCAAGAUAUCACUUACAUCUUAAUAUUUUGUCUAAAGACGAAGUACGAAUAGAGUGUCCGAUAUCGUGACAUGUGGUAUACCUUUAUUUCAAUUUAUAUAUUCUAUUUUAAGACUUAUAUGAGCUUGUUUUAUUUGUUUGUUGUUCUCUAUUCAGUUAUUACUCUUGCUAAUAUUACUGCAAACAUUAAUUCUAUUCUUAUGCUAAAUGGCUCUAAUUUAAAGUCAUGUCAAGAGAACCUCUUAAUAGUUCUUGCCAUUAUGGAUUUUAUCUUUGCGUUAAGAGCUAAUUCUCUCGUACCUCUUAAUAGUUCUCACAGUCAAAUCGCAUAUGUAUGAUUAUCACGAAGAAGGCCAUUCUGGAAGCGAUCAAGGGCUCAAUAUCUAAAAAGAUGAUUAUGACAUUGGAAAAUGGUUUGUGAAGAACGAAAAGGCUGAAAUAGGUAUGCUUUUGACAACUUCAAUUUCAACAAUGUAUAUGAGCAAAGGAAAGAAAAUAAAAAAAGAUAAGGAAACUGCAAAUAAAACAUAUCAAAAGAAACAACAAAAAACCUGACUAAUCUAAAAGGUACUAGUUGUUUACUCGACGAACUUGAAGGGCAUAAGAAAAAGCAUUGUGCCAAUUAUCAAGCAUGGUGUGCAAAGAAGGGUAUGCUUCUUAAUUUGGUUUGUUCUAAAAUUAAUUUAACUUCAGUACCUAGACACACAUGGUGGAUAGAUUCUAGUGCAAUAACUUACAUUAGUGUGUCUAGCCAGGGUUGCCUGAAUUGUCGAAACCCCAGUGAUGGUAAAAUAUACAUCUAUGUGUGCGAUGGCAAGACGGUUGGAGUGAAAGCAAUAGGAAAAUCUAUAUUAUUAUUAAAGACUGGAUUUUAUUUCAAUCGUGAAAGACAUUAUUCCGUAUUUUAGAUAGAAUUUGAUUUCCAUUUCUGCUUUGGACAAGUUUGGUUUAUCUUCUUUAUUAGGGAAUGAAAAAUUCAGUUUGUUUCAUGAAUCAAAAUUAGUUAGUUUUGAUUUUUUAUCAGCCUAUGAUUAUCUCUAUUUGAUUGAUCUGAUUGCUUUAUUUAAUGAAUCCCUGAAGUCGAGAACAAACUCAGCAAAAGAAUCAAAAGUAUUAGAUAUGACUUUGGUGAUGAGUACUAUGGCAGAUAUGACAGUUCAAAUGAAUAACAUUCAGGACCGUUUACUAAGGACGAAACAAGAGGCUUAAAGACAUGGGAAGGAGUACAAUUUCUCAUUCUAUUUUACUGGAAUUACUAUGGGGAGAAGUAUUUAAGACUACAGUAUAUAUCCUUAAUAGGGUUCCAACUACAACCACUACUAAAACCCAUUAUUGACUGUCAAUAGGUAAUAAGCCUAGUCUCAAGCAUUUGUAUGUUUAAGGAUAUCCAACUGAGGCAAGGCCUUAUAAACCUAAUGAAAAGAAACUAGAUUCAAGGACAAUAAGUUACUAGGCUAAAUGGUACAAGUCAAUUUUUUUAGUCAGGACAUACCUAAUUCUUUGAGGAUGUCGAGUUUGUAGCUGGAAAUAAAACUAGAAAUUUUUGUCUUUGAAAAGGAAUAUAUUAAUAUUCCCGUAGGUGUUUUUGGCAUUGACUAGGGCUUCAUUUGUGGCUUUGUUCAUGACACAACAAAUCUAAACAAUAUCGAAGAACCCUUGUACAUUUAUAGAGGAACAAACUCUACCACCUGAAGCACUUAUGUCAUUAAGGAGAUCCAUUAAAGAAAGAAAAAGUACAACGCCAAAUGACUAUAUUGUAUUUCUGUAAGAACAUGAAGUGGAUAUCGGGGUAAUGGAAGAUGAUCCAAUUAAUUUCUAUUAGGCCAUGCAAUGUUUUAACUCUCAAAAGUGGAUUGAUGCCAUGAAUAAAGAGAUGAAGUCCAUGAAGGACAAUGACAUAUGCGAUCUUGUCUCAUUGAUAGAAGGUACGAAACCUAUUGGUUGCAAAUGGAUAUUUAAGACUAAAAGGGAUUCAAAAGGCGUAUAAAAAGUUCCAAGGCAUGUCUUAUCGUAAACAACUUUAUAAAGAAAGAAGACAUUGAUUAUAAAGAGAAUUUCUCUCUAGUUUCUUCGGAAGACUUUUUCAAGAUCACAUUGGUAUUGGUAUUGCAUUUUAAUCUUGAGUUAUAUAAUGGAUAUGAAUACAAAACUUCUCAAUGGUGGCAUUGAUGAGAUAAUCUAAUGGUGUAGCCAAAAAAAUUUGUGCCAAGAGAUCUAAAGAAUAUAGUUUGCAGACUUAAAAAAUCUAUUUAUGGGCUCAAGAAAGCAUCUCGGCAAUGGUAUUUUAAAUUUCAUCAAGUGAUUAUCUUAAUUAGUUUUGAGAUGAAUCUAGUUGUUGAUUGCAUAUACCAUAAGUUCUGUAGGAGCAAGCAUAUAUUUUUGGUUUUAUAUAUAUGUCGAUGGCAUUUUGUUGUUAGCAAUGAUUUAAAGUUAUUGCAUGACACUAAGAGAUUUCUAUCUAAGAAUUUUAAGAUGAAAAAUUGUUGUACUUUUUCUAAUGCUAUUGGUGUUAAUAUGCAAGUUUACACAACAAGUAAUAUAAUGAUAAGUAUUCGAGAUCGUCUCCACAAGGAUUGAUGUUGUAUGAGUUGCUACAGCAAUCUUAACAGUACAAUUUUGUUCUAAACUAAAUUAAGACAAUUUAUGAAACUAAUGAAUCUAAUUAAAAUAAAAUGCUAAAAAAUAAAAAUGCAAUAAAUAAACUCUCACAUCAAACACAAGGAUAUAACCAAUGAGAAUGGAGUAGUUGAAUAAUUAAACUCACUUAAUGGUUUUUGAUUAUUUUUCUAACCGUCGCUUGUUGGAUAUCUUAUACCUUAAUGUAACUUAACAGUGACAAAUUGUUUUGCUAACAUAAGAUAUAUCAUUUCACAUUUAGAUUCUAUUUACCCUACAAGGUGAAUCCUUAUGCCUAGUUCAUCACUAAUUUUAGAUCAAGCAUGGCCUUUUUGGAUUCAAGUUAAACUCAACUCAGGAAACCCAAUCUAAAACUAAGUAUUGCUAUGAUAUGUUGCACUAAGAUAGGCCAUUUUGUGGCUCUUUCUUAGUUUAUACCAUUAGAUGGGUGGUCAGCCGAAAUAGUGAAUUAAAAUAAGUAUUAUCAAAACAACAUGCUAUAACAAACAUGCAGUAAUACAUAUAUUCAGUCAAUUAACCAUCAAGAUUGUUUAUCACUCAACCACAAAUAAAUUUAGUUCAUGAUUUGUAAGAGAGAAAUAAAUAAAAGACUUUCAACCAUCAAAUACAUCCCCAUGAUUAAAGAGUAAACAAGAAAACAAGAAAACAAGAAAAAAAAAAGGACUGAUUUCCCUAUUGAUCGCUGCAAUUUCUCCUCUGAUGUAGCCCUAAAUCUUGCUCUUGAAUUCUAUUUUUCUCUUGUUUCUUUUCGGUUUUUCUUUUUUGUUGAUGGCUCUCCUCUUUCUUUGUGUGUGUGUCUCUUUUAUAACUUAUAACUAGGGCAACCAGAAGUCUAGGGUGCCUAUCUUCUAGAUUUAAAAACUCCAUAUCACAAUCUUCUAAGUAUCUUGCACGAAAUUUUCUCUGUCAAUGUUUCAGGAUUGCUACAAAAUGGCUACAAUAUCUGCACUAUUCCAAACUUGCUCCAAUUCUUCUGUAGCCAUGCUUUUUCCUUAUUUUUGCAAACCUAUUGCAACAACAUUCCUCCCUUAAAAUUUGAGCUUCCAAUCACCUACAAUUAUGCACACAAUCUAAGCACACAAAUUAUUCUAAAAUAACAUAAUUUAUUAAAAAUAAACUAAAAUGCAAUAAAAACAUGACAUUUACUCUAUAAGUAAUAUUGAUUUAAAUCCAAAAGUGCCUUGAUAAAUCUCCUCUCAUAGAGAGUUAUCACACCCCCACACUUAAACCAUUACUUGUGCUCAAGUAAUGACAACAACAUUAACACUUCAAUCACACAAUCAUGCAACAAAUAACUUAGCUUUGUCAUUAAAUUUGAAAGGAUUCUUCAUCCCUCAGAUCAAGUGUUUAAUCAUGCUCAAUUGCCAUAGCAGUUCAGUUCUAAACUUAGGCCUUAUUUUGUCCAGAUUGUGUGUUUGCCACUUUGAUCAAGCCUAGAGGUGCUGCAACAUUACACGUACAUUAUAUAAUUUAGAGGUAGAACACAAAUAUAUUCACAUAUGGGGGACCAUAAGUCACAAAUAAACUUAAACUGUACUACAACAAAAUAAUUUUUUUUAAUUCUCUUUAAUGUUUCAUUGAUUUUUCAUGUGAAUGUCUAUCACUUGUGGUGAUGACACUCAAUUCCUCAACCAAUGCACAAAUCAGAGUUGUUGCAGCAAUGCUCAUAAUAUUAUUCUUAUCUACAGACACAUUUAACUCAAGGCUGAAUAUGGGGUUCAUGAAUAGACCUGACUACUCAAUAUCCUAGACAGAGGACCUUCUAUUUUUUUUAGGACUUAUAUGUGCUUGUAUUGUCUGUUUGUUACUCUUUGAUUUAGCUAUGACUCUUGUAAAUAUUACUACUAAUAUCAAUUCUAUUUCUAUGCUAAAUGACACUAACUUCAAGUCAUUACAAGAGAACAUCUUAAUCGUUCUCACAGUCAUGGAUCCUAACUUCGCAUUAAGGGUUGAUUACCCCCACUUUUUACGGAUAAGAGUACUUCUAAUGACAAAAAAGAUUUGGAAAGGUGGGAGAAAUCAAAUCUCAUGUGUAUAAUGAUUAUUAAGAAAGCCACUCUAGAAGCAUUCAGGGUCUUAAUGUCUAAAAAGAUAACUAUGACUAAGGAGUUUCUUGCGGACAUUGAAAAAGGGUUUGUUAAGAAUGAAAUGCAGAAAUAGGUACGCUCUUAACAAGUCUCAUUUCAAUGAGGUAUAUAAGUAGCGGUAAUAUCAGAUAGUACAUUAUAGAGAUGUCUCAUCUUACUUCUAAGUUGAGAGCACUUGAACUUGAACUCUUUAUGGACAUGUUAGUGCAUUUGGUUUUAAUAUCCUUACCAACACAUUUUAACUAGUUUUAAGGUAAGCUACAACUGGUAAAAAGAGACUUGGUCUCUAAAUGAGCUCAUAUCAAACUAUGUUUAGGAAGACAAAAAAUGCUCACUUGGCCUCUACCUUUACGGGCAAGUACAUGGGAAAAGAAAAAAAAAAGAAGGAUAAAGAAGCUACAGAUAAAGAACCUCAAAAGAGAUGACUAAAAAGAAAAAAAAAAGGAUAAUCUGGAAGGUAGUAAUUGUUUCUUUUGUAGAGUUGGAGGGCAUAAGAAGAAUCAUUAUACUAGCUAUCAUGCAUGGCCUGCUAAGAAAGGUGUACUCCUUAAUUUGAUUUGUUCUGAGGAUACAUUAACUUCAGUACCUAGAUACACAUGGUGGAUAGAUUCUAGUGAAACAACUCACACUAGGGUGUCUAUGCAAGGUUGCCUAAAUUGCCAAAAGCCUAGUAAUGGUGAAAGAUAUGUCAACGUGGCAAUGGCAAGACGAUUAAAGUUAAAGCAAUUAGAAAAUUUAUAUUACUAUUAAAGAUUAGAUUUAAUUUGGAUCUUGAUAAAACAUUUAUUGUUCUAUAUUAACUUGAUUUUUAUUCCUGUUUGGAAAAUAUAUUUAUUUUUCAUUUGGGAAUAGAAAAUUGAGUUUCUUUCAUAAUUCAAAAUUUUUUGGACCCAGUUCUUUGUCAGGUUAUGACAAUAUUUAUUUAGAUGAUACGACUGCUUUAUUUUAUGAAUCCUUAUAAUUAAGUACAUGAGGUAUAAAGAGAAAAUUACCAAUGAGAAUUUGGCUAUGUUAUGACGUAAGAGAUUAGGUCACAUUUUUAGACAGAGAAUAGGGAGACGUGUGUCAGAUUAACCCCUUAGAUUUACAAAUUUUGAUGUUUGUGCUAAUUGUACAAAGGGGAAAGAAACCAAUCAAAGGAGAUUUGAAGCCAACAUGACUUUAGAAGUCAAAGAACCUAUACAUACAAAUAUUUGUGGGCCAUUUACGUAGCAGCUUAAAAUGGGUAACAAUGUUUUAUGACGUUCACCCUCUAUAAAAAAUCACAGUCAUUGGAUAUGUUAAAAAAUUUUAAGGUUAGUUGAAAACCAACUCUGCAAAAGAAUAAAAAAAGUGUCAGAUCUCACUAUGGUAGAUAUAAUAGUUUCAGGGAACAACAUUCAGGAUAAUUUACUAAAUUCCUAGAGGAAUACAGUAUCGUCCCACAAUACACCAUGUUGGGUUUGCCAACUAUGAAUGGUGUUGUUGAAAGAUGAAAUAAGAUGUUUGCAAUAAGUUUCCAACUAAAGUGACUACCAAAAUAACCUUAGUGACUACUAAAGUGACUACCAACUAAGGCAUGGCUUUAUAGGCCUAAUAAAAAUAAACUAGACUCAAGGACGGUGAGUUGUUAUUUUAUUGAAUACUUUGAACAAACUAGGGGGUACAAGUUUUAUGAUCCCACGACUAAGCCAGUAUUCAAGUCAUAAAAUACUUGGUUUUUUGAAGAUGUAGCGUUCACGGGGGAGAUACAGCUAGAAACUUUGUCUUUCAAGAAAAAUAUGUUGAUAUUCCUACCAUUGUUAUUGGUAUUGAUCAAGAUCUCAUUCUUGACCUUGUUAAAGGCACAACAGAUUAAAACGAUGUUGAAGAGCCCUUAUACAAGAAAUUUUUCUAGAAUAACAAUCUCUACUACUUCAAUAACCUAUGCCAUUAAGUUCACUAGAGAAACUAGAAGUAUAAUGUCAAAUGACUACAUUGCAUUUCUUCAAGAUUAUGAAGUGGACAUUGAAGUGAUGGAAGAUGAUCAAAUCAAUUUCCAUCAAGCAAUGCAAAGUUCUAACUCCCAAAAGUCGUUUGUUGCCAUGAAUGAAGAGAUGAAAUCUAUGAAAGACAAUGACAUGAUAAAUUUUCUCAUUGCUAGGAGAUGGAAAACCCAUUGGUUGCAAAUGGAUAUAAAGAGACUUUCUCUCUAGUUUCCUUGAAAGACUAUUUUAGGAUCAUAAUAACAUUGGUGGCGCAUUUCAAUCUUGAGUUACAUCAUAUGGAUGUGAAUACAACGUUUCUCAUGGUGACAUUAAUGAGAUGAUAUAUAUGGUAUAGUGAAAAUACUUUUUGUCCAGAGACCUAAAGAAUAUGUUUGCAAACUUGAAAAAUCCAUCCAUAGACUCAAGCAAGCAUCUCGACAAUGGUAUUUCAAGUUUUAUCAAGUGAUCAUCUCUUUCAAUUUUGAGAUGAAUUUGGUCGAUGAUUUUAGUGGAUGCCAAGAUAGUAUGAAAUCUACUUCGUGUAAUAUUUAUCUACUAGCUGAAGGUGUUGUCUCUUAGAAGAGUACUAAACACUCUAUUAUAGCGUCUUCUAUGAUGGCAGCACAUAUUAUAGUAUAUUAUGAGGCAACCAAUCAUAAAAUAUGGAUGCUAAAUUUUGUCAUGGGCUUGUGCAUAGUAGAUGGUAUUGAUAAACUACUCAAGUUAUUUUGUAACAAUAAAUCAGCAGUGUUGUAUUCUAAUAACAAUAGGAAUUCGACGAAGUCAAAGCAUGUAGAGAUUAAAUUCCUAGUUGUUAAAGAGUUCAAAGUGGACAAUUUUCUAUAGAGUACAUCGGCAUAAACUCCAUGAUUGUGAAUCCACUUACUAAGGGAUUACCACCUAAAAUGUUUUAUCAUCAUGUUGCUCAUUUAAGUGUCAUGUUAUUAAAGGAUAUUCAAUUUUAGUAGGUGUUUAUGGUUUUAGACGCUCUUAUGAUAUGCAUAAUUUUCAAUUAUUUGAGGUUAUUUUCUGCAGAAAUAAAGUUUUGCUUUAUUCAGACUUUGAUUUCGGUAUGAUUUGAUCUCAUUAAGGUUUAAGGUGGACUAAUUAGAAAUAGUUAUGUUAAAAUUAUAUUGCAUGAAAUUUCCAUACUAAACAUCCACAUCAUGAUCCAUGUCAUUCAAUUAUAUUGGCAUAAUGAAUAUUGAUGGGUUAAUUUAUGACAACUGCGACAAAGGCCACUUUGACCCUAUGUUAGUACGAUUAAUGGAAUAGAUUGGUUACACAUACAUUUCGGUAAUGAUAGUAAAGUUGAGUUUAUACAGUUAUUUUUGCCAAGCAUGGUUAUAAGGUUCACAUAUAGCCCAAGUAGCAGACUGUUGAAUCCUUAGUCCAACAUUGGCUUUAUAUAUGAAUAAAUAUAUGUUACAAAUUAUCUUAUAAGGUUAAGCCUAAUUAAAAGUAAUCCAUUAAGGUUUUUGGUAAUUUGGGUUUUAAUGUAUAUGAUAGGGUGUAGACCCUUAAUGCGUAGAGAUUUAAGGUUAAUUUCUAUUCCUAUGAUUUGUUGAAAUAGGAAUGCCUAUUGAAAUCUGGAAAGUAUAAAUAUUUAUGGUCCUUAGGUCACACGUAACAUUCUAUUCUCUUCUGACAUCUCAUCAUCAAAGAGGGUGUAGGGAGAAAGUUCAAGGAUUCUCUAAGAUAACAUGUUGAUCUAGAAGACUAACCACACAAAUCUAGAGAGUAAUUAAGCAUUAUGGAUUCAAGUGCGCUUCUGCAUAUUCGACAGGUAUUGCAUAUGACUAGCGAUUAUCAAUAGCAUGAGGCUGAUGAUCUACAUUGGUGCAAGGCCCUACUGCAUUUAACGAGAUCUACAUGUGAUGGUGAUGCGCGACUAUUAGCUUUGCAUAUGAUAGUGAUAGUGAUGGGAUCAAUCAUGGCUCUGCGUGCGAUGGUGAUCAAAUCGAACAUGGAUGCUACGUUCAAUGACCCGUGCUGGAUCAUUUUUUUAAUUGAGGGCAAAAUGGGGUUUACAAAUUUUUUGGGGGGCAAAAUUGGAACUCCUAGGAAUCCGCAUUCCCCAUAUCCAAAUUGGGGUGGGCCUUACGAUUCCAUUUUCGAUUCCUACUCUUAUUUUUUAAAGUAAACAUUGUCAAUGAUUCCGGUUCUAGAUUCUGAUUUCCCAAUCUGGGAAGUAAACACUCCCUGAAUGUAAAAUAAAACAUCAAUUAAGUAAAUGAAACAUAGGACUUAUAAAUAGAAAAUAAACAACAAAUUGACAUAAAAGUGGUAAAUUGGAUAUUGGCAAAAAGAACAAAAGCUUAUGAAUAUAAAAUAAAACUUAUAAAUAAAUAUUAAGUGUAAAAUAAAACAUAAAUUAUGUGAAUAAAACAUAAGACUUGUUAAUAGAAGGUGAAACAAGUAAAUUAAUAUAAUAAUUAAUAAAAAAUAAAACUUACAAUUGUAAAAUAAGAACUCAUUAUAAUAAUGAUUACCUUAGAUAUUUGUUUAUUUUGCUUCUAAAUUGAAUAAUAAAAGUUAUGAGUUUUUAUAAUAUAUGUGGUGAUAUAUGUAAAAUUUUAUUAGGAUAAAACUUAUUCUCAAAAUUAGAUGUUGAAAAAAAUAAACUUUUUAUAUUUUUCAAAGCUAUUUGUAUCCUUCUAAAUCUCCUUGAUGGCAACCCCAAAUGAUUUUUUAGUACAUGUAAGAAGUAAAGUUUAAAACUACAUGAAGUAUGUGUAAAAUAGAAGAUUAUAUCUAAUUUUAUUUAUAUAUUAUAUAGGUCCAGUAAUUUAAGAAUAUUCUUUUAUUUUGUUUUGGCUUGACCCAUAUUAAGAAAAAUAAUUUUGUUUAAUUUACCUGUGUAGUAAACAAUACUAUCAUUAAAAAAAAAUUAUGAAUGUCAUAGAAUGAGUAUAAAAUUUGUGGUUAAACCAAUUCAAUAAAACUUAUUCCAAUUGUUUACAAUACAAUUAUUUUUUUUAAUCGAUGAGUGUAAACUAUUUUCUUAAAAUGAAAGUUUAAUAUUGAUUUACAGUUUUAUUUUAUUUUUAUAAUUUUUUUAAUAAUGCUAAAACAUAUAGGUGAACAUUCAAUGAACAUUGACUAAUAUGCAAGAUUUAAGAUAUUUUGAUUAUUUAAGAUAUUUAGAUUAAGAAACAAGUGUGAUAAAGACAAGUCACAAUAGAAAAGAAUAGAAUAUUUCAUGUAAUUUACUUUUUAUUCAGAGUUUGGUCUUCUUUGGCAAUACCCUUAAAAACAAUUAUUCAUUUCCUCUUUAAGAGGGCUCGGUUUGUUGCUGCUUGUUUUAUUAAGAAUUUCUUUCCUUCCCUUGGAUUAGUACUAGAACUUGCAUUAGUAUUAGAACAUGUUCCUCAAAAGACUGGCAUGAAACGAAAUUCUUUCAAAUUCAAACUACUAAUCUAUGUUAGCCAAAUUAGAAACUAGAAAAGAAGAUACUUUGAAUCUUAAUCUUAAAAGUAUCAGAUGAACAGUGUUGGAUGGUUGGUGCUGGAUGAAUAAUAUCAUAAAGAGUAUUGGAUGAACAAUACUAGUUAAUAGUAACCUGAACAGUACCACCAACAAUUAUUCGUGUUUUGGACUUUCAAAGAACCAAUAUUGACUCAUAAUUUGAACAACCUCAGUCGGCUUAAUAGAUAAAGGCUAACUCUGAUGGCAUGUGUCGUCGGAAUCCAGGUAUGGCUGUUUGUUGUGGGAUCCUUUGUAGUAGUCAUGGGGGUAUGUUAGGCUUCUUUUUUUCUUUGUGCCUUUUAAGGAUACAAUCCGCUUCUUAUGUCGAGAUCAUGGUUGUUAUUUUAAUCGUUCAGCUUGUUUAUGAGAGAGGAUGAUUGAAUCUCUAGAUCGAAAGUGAUUGCUUACAAUUGUUAAUCUCCGUAAUGGCCAUCUUCUUUCCCCUAGGACUUUGCUUAAUCAUUAGAAAAUUUAUUUACUAUUAAUAGAGUAAAGGAGGGGACUGCCAUUCUCACAUUGGAAAUAAUUGUACAUAGGCCGUCUUCUUCCUCAUUAAAUGCGAGUGAAGCAGAAAUUUCUUGAAAAUUAGUGAGGUAGAAAAUUUAUAUUGUAUUUUAUAGGGUUAAUGUCGAUUAGUCCUAAUAGUUGUAUGGUUGUAAUAUCAAUAUUAAAAAAAAUUAAGGCUUGCCUUACUCAUAUUUUUAGAGAGGGAAACGAUGUAGCAGACAAGUUGGCCAAUUUUGAUGUUUGUACUUCUUCUUUUAUUUGGUGGUCGAAACCUAAAGUUUUGCCUUUACUCCUUAAAACUCACAUUAUCUCCCUAUUUAUUGAUUCAAGUGGUAAUUGAUGCAAUUACAUCUUUGCAAGCAUUUUCCUCUAUAUUUUUACUUAUAUAUAUAUUCAUGUAUUUUAUUGAAUUUUUGUAUUAGCUUCUUUUGAGGUAAGGCUCAUUAUAUCCCUUUUUAGGUGUAAUGAUAGAAUGGGGCAAUGGAAGUGAAUUGAUAGGGUAAUUAUAGUACCGAACCAAGCCAAUGCAAUUAGCCUAUGCUUUAAUUGAAACAUGAUUAGAUCUUGUUCUAAUCCAAAUGACUCAAUAAGAUUUUUAACAAUGCUUUAGGUGAGAUUAGAUAAUGCUCUAAUUCAAAAGACUCUACAAGAGAGAUUCAUUAUAGAUAAUCCCAAAGAAAAUUAUAAAGAGGGAUAUUUUUAUUAAUAAAAAAAUUAUGAAAAUGAUAACGGGAUUUCCUUAUUUAUAAUAGUGUAAACCUACUUCCUUAAGUUAACUUAAAAAGGAAACUAAAUCACAAUUAUAAUAGAAGUAAAACACUAAAACACUUACCAUAAUUGACUCUAAUUAAAAUAAAAUAUAUCAAAAAGAACUUGAAGGGGAGCAUCACUUCAUCUUAGAGCUUGAACUCAGUAGCCUCGCUAAUCAGCUAUGUUAAAACUCAAAAUUCUCCAUUUUUAUAUUUUUCUUGUGCUUAUGAGUAACCCUUUCAAAAGAUGAAGUCCUAUCCGAACAAAUCACUUUAAGCCUUUUAAGACUUUCCCAAAUCUCGCUUAAUGUUCCCACCAACUAACUUUAUCUUUGCAACCAAAUCUUCUUCAAAAUAACCUUAUUUCUUCAACGUGGAUAGGCAUAAUCAUGUCAAUGAUUGCUAGAGCCUCUUCAACUUGAUUUUGUUGCACAGACUCGAUCUUCUUGUUAGGCUUAAUUUGCAAAUUAACAGUAAGUUGUACUUCUUUGUUAGAAGUUUUAGACAAAUCAACAAUAUUAUCAUCUUCUACUUUCACCGAUGUAAAAAGAAAUGGUUCGACAUUAUCUAAAUGAACAAAAUGGUCUUCUAUCAAUUGUCUUGUAUCAAACUAUUCUUUGAUUUCAUCUAGUCCAUGUCGAAUCCUUGAUUCUUGCAAUUGUUCCCACCAAUCAAGCACAGGGGCGGAUGCAGCACAUGACCAGUAGGGGCUCAAGCCCCCACUGGCAAAAAAAAAAUAAAUUUAAAAAUAAAAGAAAAAAAUAUUUUAAUUUUUUAAAUAGCCCCCAAUAAAUUUAUUAAAAUAAUCACUAUAAAAUAUGAACUCCCAUAAAAUUUAAACUUUGACUUUUAAGAAAUAUAAAAACUUAUAUUUUAAUUAAAAAUAAUGAUAGCCCACCACCCAAAAUAUUUUUUAUUUUAAAAAAUAUGGUUAAUUCUUCCAAUUUAUAUAAUAAUUAUAGAACGAACAUUUUUAGUAAUAAAACUCAUGAAAAAUCAUUUUUGGAAUCAGAUGUGAUAAGUAAUAGUUUGAUUGUUUAUAUGGGAAACAAUAAAUUUAAUAAUAUUGAUAAUGAGUCUAUUGCAUAACAUUUUUAAAAUAAAAAAAUGCGUAGAGAUUAAUUAUAAAUGUAUUAGUAAAUAUUUUAUAUAUUCAAAAUUUUAAUUUUUUUAUAUUUACUAUUAUCUAAUUUAGCUCCCGAUAAAUUAUUUUUCUAGAUCCGCCACUGAUCAAGCAUCACCUGUCAACUUAAAUGAUGCAUAAGAGAUAACAACAUUCAAAGAGAUAUUUUGAAGAAAAUCGUCCAUUGUCCAUAUCCAGUCAAAAAUAUCAUCAAAAUUACCAAUAAAAUUUAGGAUAACUUCAAAUUCGAGGAGACAAUAUGAACUUUGAUAAUCCAUCUUUAUCAUUUUUUCCUUAAAUUAAAAAUAUAAACAAUGGCAAAAUUGUAAGUAAGGCUUAACUCUCGUGUUUGGUAUUGCCCGCGGUUGGUGGUCGUGAUUGGGACCGGAGGGUGUUGGAUCUGCAAGAUAUGGUGGCUGGGAGCAUGCUGAUGUCACUGGUGACAAUCAACUCGCGGUGGCAGAGGUGUAUCAAAAUGCUAAAUUUGUGCUACAAGUUUGGUUCGGUUGCAACAAUUCUGGCUACUAAUCAAACCAAGUGGUAAAUGGGAUUUGAUUAGCGAGACUUACUAAUUUUGGUGGUGACUUGGUUCAACAGUGGUAAAGUUGAAAAUGGCGGGGGGUGAGUGGUGGAGCUUGCAAGUUUUGGUUGUUCACACAGUUGCUACACGACUGAUCAAAGGCAGAGGUUGGUCAGGUUUGGUUGUUGGUUGAUAUUGAUUCUGGUGGAGGGUUGAACGACAGCAGAGCCCAAAGGAAUGGUUGCUGAGCUGGCAGCAGCAGUGGCUAGGUUUGAUUUGGGGAAUUUUCUGAUUUUUUUUCUUAUUUUUUCAGUGGUGGAUUCAAAGGGAUGGAUGUGGGUUGCCUGGAAAGAUGUCCAAUUAGCACAGAAUUGGCCUGAUACCCACUGACUGAGUGGAGUACUGGUAGUGAAUUGAUAGUGCAGGAAACGCUAAAUAUCAUUCUUGCACCGAACCAAAUCAAACGUCAUUAGUUUACGCUCUAAUUGAAGCGUGAUUAGAUAUCGUUCUAAUUCAAACGAAUAAAUGAUAUUUUUAGCAACGCUUUAAGUAAGAUUAGAUGAUGCUCUAAUUUAAAUGACUCUAUAAGAGAGAUUUUUUUAUAGAUAACCCCAAAAGAAAUUAUUAAAGUGGAGUUUUUUUUAUUAAACAAAAUGUUAUGAAAAUAAUAACAAGAUCUCCAUAUUUAUAAUAGAGUAAAUCUACUUCCCUAAGUUAACUUGAAAGAAAACUAAAUUAAAAUUAUAAUAGAAAUAAAAGAUUAAAAUACAUAAUAUAAUUUACUCUAAUUAAAAUAAAAAAUAUUAAAAAAAUCUAAAAUAAUAAAAUUCUGAAAUCCUAAAAUAACUUCCUACAGCACGUAAUUUUUCUUUUUAUAAUUAAUAAAUUUUGCUCAAACCAUCGAGGUUUGUCUUAAUAAAAAUGUUUUUUAGAGUAUAAAUAACUUUACCGUUACUUAGAAUAAAAAUUCUCGGAGCAACCGAACUUUUUUUAAAGCGGAAAUUGGGAAUUGUUUUCCUUCUUUUCUCGAUUUUUUCCCCAUCUUUCAUAAAUUGGCCCACAAUUUGAAUUACAAGGACCAUAUUUUUUCCUUGACAACCAUUUUUCUUUAUACCCAAGGACCUCUAGAGUAUGCAACUUUUAUGGGGGUGCAAUUCAUGUCGCAGAUUGAACCAAGUCUUCUAGUAACUAUUAGGAAAUAUAUCUUAUUUUUUAAUAAAAAUUUCAUAGGAUAUUUUCCCCUUUAGUGAGAUUCUUAUUUAAGAAAUAAAUAAUUUUUCUUUCGAAACUUCACUUAUUUAUGGAGGAACAAAACUACUACAAGAAAAAGAAUACUUCUCCUUCAAGAAGUAAUCAUUAUAUAUAAGGAAUUUAGGAUCAUUUAUUUGUGUAACACAACCAUCAAUUUUCUGUAAGUAGAUAGUUUCUAACUCAAAUGGUAGGUCUAUUGUGAGAUUGAGUAUCAUUAAAACUUUGGGUGUGAGAAAAAUGCUUGAGUGAUUGCAAUAAUUUUUUACAUAUUAAAUUUUUUUAUGUAAAUUUUUCUGUUGAGUGAUUAAUUUUACUCUAUCUAUUUUUUUAUUAUUAUUUAUUUAAUAUUUUUUCUUACAAGAUCUUGGAUGGAAUUAAAAUUCGCUAGAGAUAACUACUGAGAAUAAGACAAUGAAUUUGUACAAUGUGAUUUCAGAAAUUAUUUUUCACGUUGAUACAUUCAAAUGCGAUGUUAAUUGCGAGAAAUGGCCAACACAAUAAUUUUUCUUUUUUGUUUUGAUUUGUUUUAUUUUUCUCCCUUCACAUAACAGCCACUCAAGUCUAUUCCAAAAGUUUCCCCGUAUAAAACAAAAAAGCCAAUAAUGCAAGAUGACAAUUCGUACGUAAUGAUAGAUUGAUAGAUCAGUGUGGCUCCCCGUGAAAAGGAGAUAAUGCUAGAAAAUAUUUUUCACGUUUAUACAAUCACAUGCGAUGUUAAUUGCGAGAAAUGGCCAACACAAUAAUUUUUCUUUUUUGUUUUGAUUUGUUUUAUUUUUCUCCCUUCACAUAACAGCCACUCAAGUCUAUUCCAAAAGUUUCCCCGUAUAAAACAAAAAAGCCAAUAAUGCAAGAUGACAAUUCGUACGUAAUGAUAGAUUGAUAGAUCAGUGUGGCUCCCCGUGAAAAGGAGAUAAUGCUAGCUGUCAGAUGAUUGUGUUUGUGUUUUCUGAAUGCUAAAGGCGCCAUCGGACUCUGUGGUGUAGAUUCACUGAGCUAUUUCAUCAUGCUUUUCUUAUUUCUGUUAUUUACAUUUAAUACGAGAAUUGAUUUGGGUGAGAGCGACUUUAGAGAAUUAUUUGUUUCUAUGAUGGUCCCACACCCAAAAUAUACGCAUCAGCAGUUCAACGUAGAAAUGAUAUUAGCUAAACAAUAUCGGCGGGGGUUGCUAGCCUUUGCAAGAAAGAAUCUCUCUACACGUUACCUAACAGGCUAGAAUAGGGACAGAAUUUUCUUAAUUACAAUCGACUGGGUGUAUUGUGGCGAAUUUUUUGAGUAAUAUAUCUUGAAGUAUCCUUGAAUAUUCCUUGUUAACACCAUUUCGAACACAACUUUGCAAUAAUCCUUACCCGGAAGUCAUGCAUGCUUGAAGUAAUUUGUCCCUCAAAAAUGAAUGUUGUUUUGUCAAAGCAUGCAUGGAUCGUGCUCCUUAAUAAAACUAUAAUGAUAUUACAGUUUUCCACUUUACAAUUUAUCAUGAAUAACAAUAGUUAUUGUUCAAAAUCAUUAAAAUCAACUCUUUGAUUACUGUUAUGAUUAGGCAGCUAUACAUAAAAGGCUACUACAGUAAAAUAUUUGGUAAUCAAUUGUUACUGUGGUGUGGAAACUAAAUUGAUGUUAUACUACACUUGUAUCAUGAAAAAUCUAUAAUAUUUUUUAUAUUUUUGUUAAACUUAUUGUUCAAAAUUAUAUUUAUUACACAUUAUUGACUCUUAUUUCACAACAAUUACAACACUUUAAUAACAAAGGAAGCCUAAAUUUCUAAUAAUUAGAGAAUGUAUGCAAUACCUAUCAGAUAAACUAAAAGACAAUGUAAUAAAAGAAAAAUUGCGAAGGGCUGUGUUUCGGCAAGUUGUUUGUAAGAAGUUCCCAAAGCUGCCAAGUCUAAGAUCUUAGUGGUCUUGUGAGGGCAUGGUUGAUAAACUACUAUUGUAGUUUUCUUCAGGAAGUCCUGUAGCUGUGAGGCUUAUCAUACAACGAAGACCGUGGAUAUUUCCACUAUUUGGGUAGAAGAUAAUAAGCCUAAUGAAUUAACUACGAAGGUAGCCAAUAGUCUAAUAAAUUAAUUAGAGAAUGCAUUUUUCAUGUAAUAAAUGACAUAGUUAUUAUUUACAUCCUUACUAGAUUUUUAAUUACCUUAUUCAUCGGUCCCGUUUAAGAGAUAACACAUAAAGUCAGCAUUUUUUUGUACAUUUACCAUUCACCUUUCUUUAGAAGAUUUUAUGACAUUUCUAAGUAGUUCAGUGCCAAAAUUAAAGAGAAAAUGAAAAUGAUUAGUCUUAUAUAAUUAAUAAAAGAACGCUCGCAAUUUUUUAUUUUUUGCUAAUCCCAAUGACUUAUGUAAUAUUUUAAUUUAAAAUUUUAAAUAUUACACACCUUGAGUUACUGUUUGCCCUUAUUUUAUAAUUAAUUUUGUUAUCUCUUAACGAAAGAGAUAAAACAUAUAAGUAAAAAUCUACUAGGAAUAUAUAAGUGGCAAAUGUUACAUCUUAUCAUUGAUGAAACAUGUAUUCUCUGUAAAUUAAUUAGCAAGAAUUUAUUCAAUAUUAUUUGCAUUAAAUGGACAUGUGUUGCAUAUUUUUGUUGAUUGUCUUGAUGUAUGUUGCUUUGGAUAUGAUAUCCUCGAAGUAUGUGGUAUAGAUAUAUAUUUUGAAAUUAAUAAUUGGUAAAGGCUUUUUAUUUUUUUACUUUUUAAAUCAGAGUGGUAAAGAUUUGAAUAGCCGUGUGUCACUAAUAUUAGUGUUUUAUAUGGCCCUAUUUUUGGCUUGCCUUUGUUUCAAUGGAUACGAUACAUAAUAAUACUUGCUGAUCAUGCUCAUUGUGGUGAUUUUAUGGCAAUGUAUUUGUCUUUCUUCUUAUUUUAAAUAUGUAUACAAAACAUUUAUAAAGCAUUGACAACAUGCAUGCAUGGAGUCUAUAUAACAAUACUUUUAAAAAAUGUACACAUAAUUAGGGUAGAGAUUAACUAACAGCGAAAGCAUCAUAGGCUAUUUUAUUUAUGCUUAACCAUAGAGAUUAAAGAGUACUAGCCUGGUCCAUUAUUUAGAAUAAUACAGCCUGUUGGCUUAUUCAUUACAGAGACGGAAAUAACAUAGAUCUUCCACUAUCAGCUGGAAAUAACACAACAGGCAAAGGCAGAUUUGGCUGAUCAUUAUCAUCAACCACAACUAGACGUUGGACGCCAUCCACAUUAGAAACGCCAACGUCUUUGCAGAGUGUAUCGCAAGAACCAUUAACAAGUGUUGAACAAUGAACAAUUUUGUAUAGACAGGGAAUGUCUAGUGCUAUUUUCAUAUCAAAUAUUGAUGCACUAACUUUCUCAAGUUUAAAAAAAUUUUGACACGUUUUACCUUCACCGAUUGUUAUAAACUGCUUUCCUAAUGAAGCGUUAUCGUUGUCAACUUUCCACAACGAAUCUUUGUUACACUGCUGAAGAGAAGAAACUCUUGAGAAUUUCAAUUUAAUAUUAGUGGAUUCCCGGACAAUUGUGGAAUUGUCAUACGGAAGUAAACCUAAAUUCUUUCCCCUUUUGUCCUUAGGACUUAAUUGGAUAACAUCCGUUGGACACUGUCCAUUUUUGCCUUUGUCCGCGCUAAUUCCACCGCCGGUUUUAACUCCCCAGAGUGCUGAGACAAGAUAAUACCUGUGGCUGGAGUCCACCUGGUUGCCAUAGACAUCUAAGAUAGGUUCAGAUUCUGAGGCGCCCAACUGAGGUUUUGUGGCCAAAGCAAGUAUAAGGAAGGAGAGUGUUGUUACUAAUGAAGUCUUCAUUUGUUUUUUUUUUUUUUUUGAGGAUAGCUGCUGUUUGUUUUGUGAUCAAUUCGGUAUUCCAGUGUUUGAAUUUAUAGAGAGCUAGAUUUAAUAGCUGAUAAGGUCUUUGUGGUAGCUGCUUGGAUGGUCAUGUAUUAUUGAGUCUUCCUUUUUUUCAUUUUCGUAAAUUUGUCAAUUUUUGGUCAUAUGGAAAUAUAGUAUGGGUGACACAUACAUAAG
rnacentral:lncRNA from 1 species